rnacentral:rRNA from 1 species
AACGAACGCUGGCGGCAUGCCUAACACAUGCAAGUCGAACGAGACCUUCGGGUCUAGUGGCGCACGGGUGCGUAACGCGUGGGAAUCUGCCCUUGGGUUUGGAAUAACAGUUAGAAAUGACUGCUAAUACCGGAUGAUGACGUAAGUCCAAAGAUUUAUCGCCCAAGGAUGAGCCCGCGUAGGAUUAGCUUGUUGGUGAGGUGAAAGCUCACCAAGGCGACGAUCCUUAGCUGGUCUGAGAGGAUGAUCAGCCACACUGGGACUGAGACACGGCCCAGACUCCUACGGGAGGCAGCAGUGGGGAAUAUUGGACAAUGGGCGAAAGCCUGAUCCAGCAAUGCCGCGUGAGUGAUGAAGGCCUUAGGGUUGUAAAGCUCUUUUACCCGGGAUGAUAAUGACAGUACCGGGAGAAUAAGCCCCGGCUAACUCCGUGCCAGCCGCCGCAGUAAAAC